rnacentral:lncRNA from 1 species
AAGAAAAUGUGGGAGAUGAGGAUUUACUGAUGAAGAAACUUUUAGAAAUUUCCUACUGCCAAAGAUGCAAACAUGUGACAUUUAUGAAAGGGUAAACAAAACUAUUUGGGAGUCUGAGAACUUUCUUUUCAUUUUGGUCCUGGGAAAACUUGGAAAUUAUAUGCUUUUGUAGAAAAUGAUUUGGUUUUAACCUCAGAAAUGUGUAUGAGAGUUAGGGAUUUUCCUUGUUUUGGAACUUGUGAAUGAUAUAUCAUUUGUUUAAAGAUGAUAAGAAUAGUUUAAAUGACAAGACGAUCUGGGACAAUUUAGGAAUACUCAUUUUUUAAAAAAGAUUUUAUUUAUUUAUUAGAGAGAGAGAGAGAGGCAGAGACAAAGGCAGAGGGAGAAGCAGGCUCCAUGCAGGGAGCCCGACGUGGGACUUGAUCCUGGGUCUCUAGGAUCACACCCUGGGCUGAAGGCCACACUAAACCGCUAAGCCACGGGGGCUGCCCAGGAAUACUCAUUUUUAAAAAAGAUUUUAUGUAUUUAUUUGAGAGAGAGAGAGAGAGAAGAAGCAGGGGGAACGGAAGAAGGAAAGGGCGACACAGACUCCCCAUUGAGCAGGGGCCAGAUGUGGGGCCCCAUCCCAGGACCCCGGGAUCAUGACCUGGGCUGAAGGCAGUCACUUAACUGACUGAGCCACUCAGGUGCCCCAGAAAACUCAUUUAAAAGCAUAAACUGUGUAAACUUCCAUGUAAUAAUUUUGGUUAUAGAGACUAGUUCUCUCUUUUCUGGCUACGUCCUCUCAGUUUAAUUCAUUAGACUUUAAAAAUUUUCCCUUUUCUAUAAUUUUCAUUAUUAAAAACUCUCCCUUUUUUCUUUUCUUUUAGUGCCCUGGUUCUCAAUCACACUGCUUCAAAGAAUGAAGAGGUAGACCAGACAAAGAGUGGUGGACAGCAUAGCAAAGUUUCUGACAGUAAAGUUUAUUGAAUGAUUGUACAAAGCUCCCAAAGAGGGAAGGGACCGGAGAGGGUUACCUUAUACUUUUUUCUCUUCAUUCUCCUCCUCUUGAUAAUUUUCUUCCACUUCUCAUUACUGAGUUAUAUAUGUUUUUAUUAUGUCUCAGCACUUGGCAUGAAGUUGUUGACGUCAAAUCCUCUUAACCAUAUUCGAGAGAUUGAUAAUUGUGCUCUUUUAGUAAUGACGGAAUGCAGCACCAACACAUACUCCUCAUAUAAUCAGCUCACUCCCAUAAUUGCAAUAAACUCUAUUCUGAAAUGUUAUCUAUUGAGAACCAUAAAACUUUUAAACCGCCAAGAGGACAUUUGCUACACUUAA